ensembl:lncRNA
GUAAGCUGGAAGUUUUGCUUCUCAGUGCGGAAGGAUGAAAGAUGUGUUUUGAAAAUGCCACGUGACUACCGUCCUCCUCCCUCCCGGAUCAGUCCGCAUGUUCAUGGCGCCAGCAUUUGUUAUGGAAUAUAUUGAGCAAACCUGGAGAUAUUAUUGUUGUCAUUGCUGUGGAUCUUUACUGACUUGGCUCGGGACCAGCACUCCUGCUGUUGGACAGAAAGACAUCAACUUGAGAUAUGACUGCACUGUGCUGUUGCUGUGACUCCAGUUAAUUCUACAAGACAUGCUGUGACACCAGGAGAGAUGAGUCCUCUAUCACAGAUGGUGUGGUCAGUGAAGAUGGUCGCCUGCAAGUUCAAGCUCAUUGCAUCUCCAACCAUCAACCACUGCCACUGUACUUAAGGGAAGUUAAAGACUUUCUUCUGCACCUACAUUUGGAUCACCUUGAUCCAUGACAGUCAUUCAGGCAGUGAUGCCUGGACUAGAAACAAGCAUCCUUAAAAUAAUACAACAUUCCAGCUCAUGUGUUGGAAUGGAAAACAAAUGUGUUGUUUAAAUUAGAGACUGCACUUGUGACAGAACAACAAAUAUUUUAUUUUGAUUAUACAAGUAAUGUAAGUACAAAACAAACUUGUGGUAGGCCUAAACUUAUUUUCAGAAUAAUUACAUCUGAGACUUUGUUUCAUUGUAA